rnacentral:misc_RNA from 1 species
UUUCCGUAGGUGAACCUGCGGAAGGAUCAUUAACAUUUUUUUUCUUUUUGUUGAAAAAAUUAAAAAAAAAAACCCACUUGUGAACUUUGAAAAAAAAUAAUUUUUUUUUAUUUCAAAAACUCCCAAAAAUUAAAAUUAAAAUUAAAAAAAAAACAAACAAAAAAAAAAACAAAACUUUCAACAACGGAUGUCUUGGCUCUCGCAUCGAUGAAGAACGCAGU